GAUGGCUUUCCUCGGCAGUGGCAGAAGCUUGCUAACAGUCAAAGCAUAACCAUAGAAGAACUCCACCGGACGGUACGACACCCAGCCAACAAGCAAGCGCAAGACUGGGUAAUAUCUAUUGGUAUGUAUACAUAGAAAAUGGGAAGAGCUCAUCUUCCAUCUAUUAGACUGAGGAAAGACAGCCAGCUUCAGUGUCACGCAGAGGAAAACAGACAGGAAACUGUUUGACUGCCGCACACAUACCCACACACACAUACACCAAUCCACCCGCUGCCAGUUAACUAUCUGCUCACCCGAAGACAUUCGAUUUUGUGGAUGUGGAAAUGCAAGGAUAUUUGGUGGUUUGCUACCGCGAGGGAAAUCGUUCGGCGCUGCGAAUUACAUCCCGAAGCAGAUUUUGCGUAAUACAUUUUUAAUGGAAGAAAUAUGCUGGAGAAAUUUGCACGCCAACAAUUUAGCAUAGAUAAUGGUUAUGAAUUUGGUAGAAAACUGGUAGCAAUUAGCAUCGCAACUACGAUUUGCCAUUACAUUACAUUAAGUCACAUAUUUAAUCAAACCAUUUUUAUUAAAGUUUAUUGGAUUUUCUUAGCUGGUGAUGAUGAGAUGAUGCAAACAACCAGACGAAAGAGUCGCUAUCCAACGGCUUAGCUUGAUAUUUGAGAACAAAAGGAGCAAACUAAAAUUUGUCGAGGCUAAUUAAAUUUCUGUUUUCGAGGACCAAACGUGGAUUCAGAUCUAUGUUUCAUGGUAAGUAAGGCUCGCACCCGGCUGUCCAACGUAUUUCAAUCGAAAUCGAAGAGGAGGAUACAUUUGAAUGUCCAGAGACCAUCAAAGAAAAGAGUUGCUGCAAAAUACACUCGGAAAGUUGGUGGAUGAAUUCAUGAACCAGUUAAAAUGGACCUGAACGAGCAGUGAAAACACAUCCACGACGCAGUCAGUGAAACAGCACGAGAUAUGCAUGGCAGUACCCAAGUAACAAUUCUAUAGCUACUUGGUUUUCUAACGGUUUUAUCACAUCAAUGAAUAUUACCAACGGUUUUAUGGCGGUUGAACCCGUUGCCAAAAAUAGCAAGUCGUAAUAAACACUGAUAGCUGUCAAUAAAACUCUAAUAAAACUUACAAUAAAA